GACGAACGCUGGCGGCGUGCCUAAUACAUGCAAGUAGAACGCUGAAGAGAGGAGCUUGCUCUUCUUGGAUGAGUUGCGAACGGGUGAGUAACGCGUAGGUAACCUGCCUUGUAGCGGGGGAUAACUAUUGGAAACGAUAGCUAAUACCGCAUAACAAUGGAUGACACAUGUCAUUUAUUUGAAAGGGGCAAUUGCUCCACUACAAGAUGGACCUGCGUUGUAUUAGCUAGUAGGUGAGGUAAUGGCUCACCUAGGCGACGAUACAUAGCCGACCUGAGAGGGUGAUCGGCCACACUGGGACUGAGACACGGCCCAGACUCCUACGGGAGGCAGCAGUAGGGAAUCUUCGGCAAUGGGGGCAACCCUGACCGAGCAACGCCGCGUGGGUGAAGAAGGGUUUCGGAUCGUAAAGCUCUGUUGUAAGUCAAGAACGGGUGUGAGAGUGGAAAGUUCACGCUGUGACGGUAGCUUACCAGAAAGGGACGGCUAACUACGUG
rnacentral:rRNA from 1 species